rnacentral:tRNA from 1 species
GGGUUAAUUAGCUCAGUGGUUAGUGCUUAGGUCUUGUGACCGUAAGGUCCAGGGAUCGAAUCCCGCUAGAGGCA